GGGAUUGGGAAUUUUUAAGAGAUCCCAGAACAUUCUAAUAUGCACACAGGUUUGGGAACCACCAGUUUUCCUGAAGAGAGUUUAAUGAAGGGACUUUAAAAAAGUUUUAUUGAGGUAUAAUUGGCACACAAUAAACUGCACAUAUUCAAAACAUACAAUUUGAUGAUAAGUUUUUAAAAACCAUCUUAACCAUUUUAAGUGUAUCAUUCCACAGUAUAUUUUUAAGUAUAUUCAUAUAUAAGUAUAUUCAUAUUGUUUGAGGAUCUCCAGACCUUUUUCAUCCUGUAAAACCAAGACCGUACCCAUUAAACAACUCCCCGUUUCCCCUCCCCCAGCCCCUGGCAACCACCAUUCUACUUUCUGUCUCUGUGACUUUGAUGACUCCAGGUACCUCGUAGAAGAGGAAUCACACAGGCCGGGCACAGUGACCACACCCAUAAUCCCAGCACUUUGGGAGGCCGAGGUAGGUGGAUCACCUGAGGUCAGGAGUUCGAGACCAGCCUGGCCAACAUGGCGAAACCCCAUCUCUACUAAAAAGACAAAAAAAAAUUUAGCUGGACAUAGUGGCGCACGUCUAUAAUCCCAGCUACUCGGGUGGCUGAGGCAUAGAAUCGCUUGACCUAGGAGGCGGAGGUUGCAGUGAGCUGAGAUCAUGCCACUGCACUCCAGCCUGGGUAAUAGAGCAAGACUCCAUCUCAAAAAACAAACAAAAAAAAAAGGAAGUGGAAUUACACGAAUGUCUUUUUGUGACUGACUGAUUUCACUAGCAUAAGGUCCUUGAGGUUCAUCCUUGUCGCAUAUGGCAGGAUUUCCUCCCUUUUUAAGGCUGAACAAUAUUCCGUUGUAUGUAUGUACCACAUUUUCUUUAUCCAUUCAUCUGUCCAUGAGCAUUGAGGUGACUUCCAUCUCUUGGCUAUUGUGAAUAAUGCUGCUAUGAACACGGGGUUCCAGGCAUCUCUUUGAGACCUUGCUGUUAAUUAUUUUGAAUAUAUAUGCCCAGAAUUGGGAUUGCUGGGUCAUGUGGUAAUUCUAUUUUUAGUUUUUUGAGGAACCACUCUACUGUUUUCUAUAUCAGCCACACCAUUCUACAAUCCCACCCACAGCGCACAAGGGUUCCAAUUUCCCCACAUCCUCGCCAACACUUGCUAUUUUGUUUCUUGGAUAGUAGCCAUCCUCAUGGGUGUGAAGUACUAGCUCAUUAUGAACUUGAUUUGCAUUUCUCUAAUGAUGAAUGGUGCUGAGCAUCUUUUCAUGUGCUUGUCGGCUGUUUGUAAAUCAUCUUUGGAGAAAUAAUGAAAGGACCUGGUAGGGGAUGAUGAUGCACCAGAGACUAGUGAAAGCAGCACGUUGUAACCACCUCUAGCUCUGUGGGCCAGAGGAGAGCACUGGGUACCAGAAUCACAGAUCAGGAGCUGUGGAAGGCGCUGCCCGACAGGAUGGGGGACCCUGGGAGAGGGAUGCAGCCACAUCCAAACUGUGGCCCAGAAGAGGGAGUGGGAAAAGUCCUCGACCUCUCUGUCUUCCUGCUGUCUUCCAAUAUCCUACCUGGGUGAGGUCAGCCUCCUGGGGAUCAGAGCAGGGCAGGGAGGGGUGAGAAUGAAUCCACUGGUGGUGGGGGCAAGGGGCAAAUAGAAUCACCCAAAAAAGAGGUAUAUGUUGCUGACUCCAUUUUACAGUCGGGGAAACUGAGAGUCAUGUUUGGCACAGUUUAGAGGGACUUGGACCAAGAUUUGGACUUUGCUCUAGGUGAUGCCAGCCUGAUUAUUCUAACCUGUAAGCUACACCACCUUCUGGCAGUGGGCAGUGCCCAAUGGGGGAGGGUGCGGGGGCAGUGCCCUUCCCGCCAGAUGCCACCCCUCCCUUGAGCUUGGUCGAGGGUGAUCUGCCUUCUCCUUCCUUCCUCUUCCAUUUAGAAAGCAACGGGUCUGAAAGGUAAUUCUGUUCUUGAUGAGGGUGCAGGCAGCAGAGGGAAUUGUCAUCCUGCUGAAGACACACAGCUCUUCCAUGCUCUACCCUAUGUGUAAUUUGUUCUUAUCUGCUCCUGGAGCCACCACCUGCUACAGUGUAAAGAGACCCCACAGACUCUCUGGAUCAAACUACUCACUGUCCAGAAGGAGAAAAUGAGGUCCUAUGUCUGUGGCUAGAACCCAGGCCUCUGGGGAGCAACCCAGGGCUCCAUCCAGGGUGACCUGAGCCUGCUCUGCUCAUCAGAGCCAGUCUUUACCACCCUUCAUAUCCCGGGAGCCCACAGGUAGAAAGAUGGGCAUUGCAGGUCACCGUGGUUCCCCCACUGAAGCAAGUUCCCUGGCUCGCGAUUAGCCAGUGCUCUGCUGGUUCAUGAUGCGCUCCAAAUGCUAGACCAAGAAAGAAACUGGGUCGGUGGGCAGGACACAGGACCAGCGCUCUGGGAGGAGAGCUGUUCUCAAGCAGUUUGGUGGCAUCAGAGCCUCUGUGUGGUCAGUCAAGCAGGGCAGCCAAUUUCCUCUCCUUUCAGCCCUAACUCUGGACUCCUGUACCUGGAGGGGCUCCCUUUGUGCUCCUGCAGCCCAGAAGCCCUCCGAGGCUUGACAUGAAAGAGUCGCGGGAUCUUGGACUGUUCCGGUGGAAGGGCUCCUAGCAAAACCCAGAUGUUUUCUCUUCUUGUAUGGAUGGGAGGACCGAAGUCCAGAGAAGUGGAAUAACUUGCCCAGGGUUGUGCUGAGAUUUGUGAAGGUGCCGGAUGCUGGUGUGCUGGUGGCUGGCAUGCUCUGAGCCCUUCCUUCCCGCUGUUUCCCUGGAGUUCUGCUUGGCAACCACCCGCCUGCAUUUUUGCAAAGUGAUGUCAUCUGCAGAUAAUGGUUUUUCCGUUCCUGGUGGAGCAGGAGUUCCAGAUACAGUGCUUCGGGGGAGGGGCUCAAGAGAGCUGAUUGUGCACUCCUCAGGCAAGUGGGGGCUGCAUAGACCCCCUCCCCUCUGACAGUCACAUCUCAGUUGUAAGGCAAGGCACCGUCUCAGGCUUCCUGGACUCCGGAACCUGGAAUGACCAAAAUGGCAGAGGCCCCAGAGACAAGCCUCCCCUGCCUCCUCCUUGUAGAGUUGGGAAUCUGAGGCCCAGAGAGGGCAGAGCCUUGCCCAAGCUCACACAGCAUUUACAGGCAAAACCUUGACUCACAUCCCGACUCCUAACAUCUGUGGCCACUUGCCCGUGGUUGGGGGUUUUUCACCCUCAACACCGUUGACAUUUUGGGCCAAGGAGUUUUGUUGUGGGGGCAGUCCCUUUCAUGGCAGGAUGUUUGGCAGCAUCCCUGGCCUCGACCUCCUACAGGCCAGUAGCACCCCUCUCCAGUUCUCAAAUCCAGACACUGCCAAAUGUCUUUCACCUAAGUUGGGGUGGGAGAAAGUAACCCUCCAGCUCCUAAGACCUUUAUCCACUGCCAUAGGCAGGAGAGGUUUCUUGAGUCCAAGCCCAAAGGGUGCUUUGUCUGAGGCUCUGACUUAACGUCAGGCACCUUCAGGAUGGGAGGCAGGCCUGGAGGGGGCUAUGAGGGGCUGGAGAUGGUCCAGGCCCUCCUUCUGGUUAGGAACACUGCUUCCUCUGAUCACUUUUCUUGGAGCAAAACUGCCGAUUUAUUUUCCUGGGGAAAUAAAAAUAAAUGCUGGCUGUUGUAAUCUCAUCCCUGAUCCCAUCUGGAAAAAGCAGGCUCAUGAAUCUUGGCCGCCUGAGCUCUGAGGACUGUGUCUGGCGGAACCUGGAGUUACAAUGGGCCUUCGAACAUCGGAACAGUCACGGCUGACAUUUCCUUUCCCGUUACAUGGCUCCUUGGAAUGUGAGCCCCAGGGGGCCGUCCGUGGGCAGGCGGAAUUUGGUGGAAAGAAGUGCUGCACGGGCCGGAGGCCAGCUCAGCUUCUGACUUGCUGUGUGACUUUGGGCCACUUUUCUGUUCGUUUCUGGGCCUUGAUUUCUCCAUCUGCAGAAUGAGGGGAGCCACGUUCCUCAACAAGGGGUCCAUGGACCACCUUGUAUCAGAACCAUUUAGGGAAUGUGUUUAUGGCUAUUCCUGAUAUUUCUGAUUCCUCUUCCAGACCUCCUAAAGUUUUUAUGCAUCUCUAAGUGAUUUCGAUAUAUAUAAGUUUUGGGACCCACAACACCAAGGACUUUGAACUUUCCACCCAGUUUCAAGUUUGAACACAUCACAGUUCUUCAGCCUCCUUCCCCCUCAUAACGAAGUGUAGAGUUAUGAAGCUAGAGGGUAAAAUUAUGGGGUGGGCUGGAACUGGGCAUUGCUCCUAACAAUUAUCUGCUUUCAAACUCUUGGCAGGGUCUCUGGGGUCCUUGAUCCAACUGAAAUCACUGUUAAAGCACUUUAUUCCUCCAGUAAUGAAACUCGAGCUGCUAGUUACAGAGUUUGGUUUCAAAAUUGUGCCAUUUAUUAUUUUUGUUGGAUUGGCUUAUAAACCCUCAUAUAGUCAUACAUCAUUUAUAAUGCAUUAUUCCAUGAGAAUGCAUUUUCCAGAUGAGAUUUAUUUUUUCUGUUAAAAACUUAAAACUGUUCUUUUUUUUUUUUUAAAUGGCAGUCUUUCGCCAUGUGUUACCUAUUUAUACCACCUUAAGUGAAGGUCAGGAAAUGCAAUUUUACUUAUUCUCAAUGCUCCAGGGUUGUCAUUGUGAGUUUUAACUACUGUAUGCAUUGAUGUAAAUUUUAGGGACUCCAAAACUCACUGUGCCUGAACUAUGAAUGUCCCCCAAGCUGCUUAGCCCUUGUGUCUGCUUUUAAAAGUUCUGCUUUGCUUCUAUAUUUUUAAAGAUUUCUUCCUCAUGAGAUAUCAGCAGUUACUUCUCACCACGUUAUCAUGACUCCUUUGGAUGAAAAACCAAUAACCAGUGUGUAUCAGGAUUGUCUGUAGUGUAAGAGUUCAUAAUCAAUGAAUGAGAGGACUCUCUGAUGAGUCAGGGAUGUGGAUUUUUGACAUUUGUUUUGGCAGCUGAGAAUAAGGGGUAGUUUUUUUCUUUCUAAUUUUCACCCCAAUAGCAGCUGCUUUCUGAGAGUUUUCUAGAUAAAUGUGAAAUGAGUGUAGAUCGAUUUUUCCAUGUAACUAAUUUACAUUCUGGGUGAACUCAUUUUGCUUCUGACUUAGAGGUGCUUUCAUUUCCUUCUCAUCUGCACCCUGUUCUUGGAGAAGCUGCUCCACCCCUAGCCCAUGAUACAUGAUGCAUGACCCAGCCCACUGGGCCCCCUGAUGCCACCUGGGCCAAUCAGAUUUUCCAGUCAGGAAAUUUGCAAUUGAGAUUCAGAGCUGGAAAGAGUCACCUGCUCUGAUGGGAGCUGCAUUUGUGGACUGUGACUCAGAGGCUGAGGCCCCAGGGAGCCGACCCCAUGGGCCCUGGGCAAGCCCAGAGUGAAUGUGGAAGCCGGGCUGUGGAGGUUCCCUGAGCAGACAGUCCGGGUGGUCACGGUGUCUACAAUUCCAUCACCAGAUCUUCCAUUUCCAGGAGUAACCCUGGGCAGGUGUAUACCAUGUGUCUUGUUUACAGUGGGGAUUAAUAGUUCAAGGAGCCCAAGGUAAGGAAACCCAUAUUUGAUGAAUCUCCAGACAAUUUAUACCCACCACACAGCCUUAUGAAGAUAGCCCAAUCACGCCUAUUUUACAGAGGGGAAAACUGAAGUUCUGAGAGGUGAGCUGACUUGCCCAAGGUCACAUAGCACGUCAAAAUCGGGGCUCACAUCUGCAUCCAGAGUCCAGGCUCUUUGCCCUAAAGCAAGCUCAUCUGAUCUGGGAGCUGGGGAUAGGCUGAGGAGGCGAGCGGGUGACAAAAUGAACUUGUCCCAUGGAGUCAUUCAGUGGGAAAAGUUGUGGUUUGGGAAUUAGGGCCAAAUGGCUCCUUAACCUUGGGCAUCAUGGUGGGCCUCAAUUUCCUUACCUCUGCAGGAGGGAAGGACCGGAUGUACUCUGCAAUCCCAGAAAACUCAAUGGGCUGAGGCAGGAGGACCUACUGGCCAUUGAAGACUGUCCACUCCUGGUCCAGAUUCCAAGUGACCAGGCAGAAAGAGCAUGGACUUUGGAGUUUGAUUGCCUGGCUUUAAAUCCCCCUGCUCCACUCGCUACUGUGGUGUGGACUCAAACUUGAGGUACAGUCAUCCUAUGAAGGAUCAGAGCUGGAAAGUGGGGGCCUGGCUCAGGGAGCAGCAGAACCAGAGCAGAAGCUGAGCUGGAGAUGCCCUGAUGGGGCCGAGGUGGAGGCUCAGGCCUGGGAUGGGCAGUUGGACCAGCAGGUCCAAAACAGCAGAAGCCAAGGCAGGCAGCGGUCUUGGAGAUGCCCUCUGACCUGCCGUGGACUGGAGCCUCUAAGAUGCUUCCUCCUGAGGCUGGAGCUGAUGACUGGCAUCCUUGGGAUGUAACCUGCGUGCAGCCGGCAGGUGAGGACGUCAUGCAGGGCAGGAGCUCAGGCCCCCCAGAGGGGGUCACACCUGGCCGGGCCACUGCCCUGUGAACAUCCUUUCAAGGGACCCUUUCUCUUGCUUGUUUGUGGCCCCGCUAGACUGUAAGCUCUUGAGGACAGAGCCAUUGGGAAUGAAUGACAAGGUGAGUCUGGGGGCCCAGGACCCCAGACAGUAGCUGUCCUUACUGAGAGAAGGGUUAGGGCUCCCGGAGGCAUGGAGAAGGAUGAAGGCCCAACUUACUCCACUUGGGGACCACCCUGAUCACAGAAAACACUGCCUGCUUCCCUCACCCUCAGGGACAGCUAUGCCCAAAGGGAGGGCCUCAGCCUCUGGCUGGAGAAAAAGCAGAUAGUAAAGAUGGUGGCCCCUGUGCUUUCAAGUUUCUCAAGCCAGAUCCCGACUAGGCUCACAGUGUGUAUUUGGGACUUUUAGAAUUUGGGAAGUUGAGACCUAUGAAAGUUUGAGAACCUGGGAAACUUCAGAGCUUUCAGGAUCUUUUGAAAUCUUGGACAUUUUAGAAUCUGGAGCAUCUUUAAACCUGGGGAACUUUAAGAAGCUUGAACUCUUCUGACGUUGUGGAAUUUGAGGGAUUUCAUUUUGGGGCUCUGUUGGCCUUGGAGUGGAUGCUGUCCUCUUGGUGUAGAGGAGGACAUUCGUCAGCAGACCUGAGCCCUCUCCUCCCACCGGCCCUCAGAGCCCAGUAUUUCAAAUAUCUCGACGUUAUGCAGUUUUAAACUUCAGAUUUUUGAAAUGAAAUUGUAUUAGUUAUCUUGAAUGUUCGAUGUUGUGUUUCUCAAACAUGUGUUGGCCUACUGGAUUUCUAAGUUUCUGGCUCUUUCUUUUGCAAAUGAUUUUUCCUCUCAUGUCACAGAUUCAACAAAUAUUCAUGCUGGAAUGGGAUGCAGAAGUCACCUACUUUCAGAGAUGGGGAAACUGAGACCCAGAGAGGGCACAGCCUUUUCUCGGGGGCCUCCAGUGACUCAGAGUCAAAUCUGUGCUUCUUGGCUCCUGGAUCUCUGAGCUGCACCCACUGGACCCCUAUGCCAACCCCAGCACCCCUGUUCUCCAUGGCGGCCCCGCCCUGAGGAUUUCCUAUGCCUUUCUACAGAGCUUUCUCCUUCUCCUAGAUCCCUUUUCUGCAAAACGAGGCUGGGGAGUUCUGAGCCAAGCCCAGGCCCACGUGCCUGGAACCAGAGACAGCGUAAGGAGCAGACACUGCCAGGUCACUUGCAGCAGACUCCAGGAGGAAAUGAGGGAAACAGAACCUCAGCCGUAGCCUAGCCAGGGCUCUCAGAGCCUAGAAAGCUCUUAGGAGAAGUGGAGAGUUGUUCAGAUCCAGGCUAAUUUGUCAUCUCCAGCCCUUCUCUGGUGAUCAGCUUGCCUCUUCCUCUACCUGCCCCUAUAGGUAGAGGAAGCUUGCCCUUCCUCUCCUGCAUCUUCUCCUCCCCUUUCUGUCACAUGCCUUCUGCUUCUUGAGGCCUCUGCCUCAUUGUAGUUUCUCUUGCUGUCCAGUUCCGGUGAGCUCAUGGCUUCUGUAGCCCAGUUUCUCUUUGCUUCCCUUUGUGAAUCUUUCCUGCUUCGACUCUCACUCCCAACUUCUUAACUUACACUCAAUGCUCCCAGAGGGAGGACUUGAUUGGUUUGGAAGUCCCCCACCAGGACAGGCCAAGGAUUAAGUGAGUUCUUAUAUGAGGUCUCUGAUUCCCUAACUCCAGCUAGGUGUUCAAUUAUUCAGUUCAAUUCUGACACCAACUCCAGGAGUUAGUGCAGACCCCAAGGUUUAGGGCUCAGCCCCACAGGGCUGUCCCCCUUUAGCCACCAGUCACACACAAGUCCAGGGACCAUCUGUACAUCUGACUGCCUGGCUCUGAAUUUCAGGGUUCCCAUAACCUCCCCUUCUAGUUAGAUCAUUCACUAGAACAAUUCACAAAACUCAGCAAGUGCUUUACUUACUAUUACCAGUGGAUUAUAAAGGAUACUACUCAAGAACAGACUCAUGGAAGAGAUGCAGGGAACAAAACAUGGGGGAUUUGCACAAAGCUUCCACGCCCUCCCAGCGAGUCCCUGUGUUCACCAGCCCUGAAGCUCCCAAACCCUGUUGUUUAGGGGUUUUUCUUGCAGUUUCAUUAUGAUGGAUUAAAUCAUUGGCCAUUGGCGAUUGAAUUCAAUCUCCAGCCCAUCUUACCCCCAUGGAGGCUGUAGGGGGUGUGGGGGUAACCAGCCCUCAUCAUGAAGCUCUCUAGGGCUCCUCCAUAAGUCAUCUCAUUAGCAUAUGAAAGGCAAUACGUUCAGGGGUUUUAGGAGCUCUGUGCCAGGAAUUAGAGACCAAGACCAAAUAUUUAUAUUUUAUACCACACCAGGCCACUUCUCAGCCCACUGGCCAACUUCAAGAUUGACUGCUGUUAGGUCACAAUACCCACUUGGCCAGGGGUAGAGAUCACUCAGUAUCAUGUGUGGUGUAAGCUGUUGAGAUUAGGCAUAGACAGUGGCAGGUGACUGACGGGCUGGACAACUGACAGAUGCUCACCUUGGCCAGUGUAGGCACAGAUAGGGCAGGACCCCAUUUGUUUAAGUGUUCCAUCCUCAGAAAUCCCCUCUCCCCCACUUCUUCCUUCUCUUCAUUCCUUCUUUGCUAUUUUUAAAUGGCACAUUGGAAAUAAAACAAUUGUCAAUGUAUUCAGCCCUCCCGCAGCGGGCUGCCAAUCAGCACAGUCCAGCCUACCUCCGCUUCCAUUCCCUCCACCUUAGCCCUCACCUCCCUCUUUGCUCUUGCCCCCGUCUCCGGGCACUCAGGUCUCUGUUAGUUUCUCAACAGCUUUGCAUAUGCUGUUCCCUCUAUUUGGAAUGCUCUUCCCCAUCUCCCACCCCUGGCUGGCUUUUCCUGGCCACCCACUCUGAAUGAUGCGCUCCUCUUACAUAUGUGCCCUGUGUGUUUCUUUACUGAUACUUGUCAGCCUGCUGAUCGACUUAUUUGCACAAACAUUUAAUAAAUCACUGGACCGUCUGCUGUAGGCGGGCAGAGAUCAGAUCUGUUUUGUCUUGCUCAGUACUGUGCAAUAACACCUAGAACAGGCCUGGCUUGGUAGAUAGCUAUUGAAUAAGUGAGUGAAUGGAUGAAUGUCAUUGAAUCAGAGAUGAUUAUGAUUCACAAAGGCUUAUAUGUAUGAGUGAAUUUGAAAAAAUAGAAACAACUUGAAUAUUCAAUAAUAGCCAAUUAAAAAUAUAGUAACCUACAAUGGAAUUUGCAUGGCA
rnacentral:lncRNA from 10 species